rnacentral:rRNA from 1 species
GAUGAACGCUGGCGGCGUGCCUAAUACAUGCAAGUCGAGCGAACAGACGAGGAGCUUGCUCCUUUGACGUUAGCGGCGGACGGGUGAGUAACACGUAGGUAACCUACCUAUAAGACUGGGAUAACUUCGGGAAACCGGAGCUAAUACCGGAUAAUAUUUCGAACCGCAUGGUUCGAUAGUGAAAGAUGGCUUUGCUAUCACUUAUAGAUGGACCUGCGCCGUAUUAGCUAGUUGGUAAGGUAACGGCUUACCAAGGCAACGAUACGUAGCCGACCUGAGAGGGUGAUCGGCCACACUGGAACUGAGACACGGUCCAGACUCCUACGGGAGGCAGCAGUAGGGAAUCUUCCGCAAUGGGCGAAAGCCUGACGGAGCAACGCCGCGUGAGUGAUGAAGGUCUUCGGAUCGUAAAACUCUGUUAUUAGGGAAGAACAAACGUGUAAGUAACUGUGCACGUCUUGACGGUACCUAAACAGAAAGCCACGGCUAACUACGU